rnacentral:rRNA from 1 species
GACGAACGCUGGCGGCGUGCUUAACACAUGCAAGUCGAACGAAGAGCGAUGGAAGCUUGCUUCUAUCAAUCUUAGUGGCGAACGGGUGAGUAACGCGUAAUCAACCUGCCCUUCAGAGGGGGACAACAGUUGGAAACGACUGCUAAUACCGCAUACGAACUAACCUCGGCAUCGAGGAUAGAUGAAAGGUGGCCUCUACAUGUAAGCUACCACUGAAGGAGGGGAUUGCGUCUGAUUAGCUAGUUGGAGGGGUAACGGCCCACCAAGGCGAUGAUCAGUAGCCGGUCUGAGAGGAUGAACGGCCACAUUGGGACUGAGACACGGCCCAGACUCCUACGGGAGGCAGCAGUGGGGAAUCUUCCGCAAUGGACGAAAGUCUGACGGAGCAACGCCGCGUGAGUGAUGACGGCCUUCGGGUUGUAAAGCUCUGUUAAUCGGGACGAAAGGCCUUCUUGCGAAUAGUUAGAAGGAUUGACGGUACCGGAAUAGAAAGCCACGGCUAACUACGUG